rnacentral:miRNA from 1 species
GAGGUGUUUGGGAUGAGAGAA